rnacentral:rRNA from 1 species
UACAGAGGAUGCAAGCGUUAUCCGGAAUGAUUGGGCGUAAAGCGUCUGUAGGUGGCUUUUUAAGUCCGCCGUCAAAUCCCAGGGCUCAACUCUGGACAGGCGGUGGAAAUUACCAAGCUGGAGUACGGUAGGGGCAGAGGGAAUUUCCGGUGGAGCGGUGAAAUGCGCAGAGAUCGGAAAGAACACCAACGGCGAAAGCACUCUGCUGGGCCGACACUGACGCUGAGAGACGAAAGCUAGGGGAGCGAAUGGG